GGCAGUAUGGUGUAGUGGUUUGAGCGCUAACUCUGUCAUACUCUGGAGAUCAGGGUUCAAAUCCCUGCUCAGUCA